CACGACCCUCCACAAUGCUCGGCUUCAAAAUCAGGUGCCAAGAGAGGUGAGAUGAUUUACACAAUAUGUGGACAGAAGAUAAAAAUCUCAUCUGACCCCCAAAGUAUAUUGAAAGAGAACAUGGACAAAAACGUACAAGUAAUUGCAAGUGACGGUCCAUACAUACUGUAUCCUCAAUCACCAUCACUGGAGACGAAACGGAGACAAAUCCAGAUGUGUUCAGAAUCGUGUUCUUUCAUACUCUUUGCUGGAUUCAUCAUUUUAACCGUCUUAACGCCGUGGUUGUGUAUUCCGUCAUAUGUGAUUCAAAACUCAAAACAAACUGCUUUUCAGAUUUCUAUGAUCUGUUUAGGUAUUAUUUCCUUUGGGUUGCUCUUCACCGGUUGUAUAAUAGGCAACUUAUAUUGGCGGUAUGAAGAGGAAACCGACAGAUGGCGUCCAUUCCUGCACUUUGGUAAAGGUCCAAAACAUUACUGGGGCUGGUUCUUCUCCAGUCAAACUACUAAACACAAGGAGGCUCAAAUUGUCUGAUAAAUAACAUCAUGUUUAUUUUUUUUUUCAUACAAAAGAUUAUCUUUGGACUUUCAUCCAAACAUAUUUGAAAUUAGAUCUAGUUAAGUCAUAAUGAAAAAUAAUCACACUACACACAAUAAAUUACACUUGAAUGUACUAUGUUUAACACCCUCGUCUUAUUGCAGUGUUUUACAAUCGUGUUGCACAAAAAGUUGUAACGAUUUCCAGUUAACAUAGUUAUUGUAAAUUGCUGAAGGUUGUAUGAAUAAUUUACAGUUUAGAAAGUUGAAGAUAACGAUCUACAUAUUAAAAAUAGUUACUUGUUAGAACAGUGGUAGAUUAUUUAACUGAAUUAAACAUAAAAAUGUAUAAAGUAAAUAAAUGACAUAAAGAAUUAACUUAUUAACCCAAAGUAAUAACGUUUGAAAUUGAACCAAGUUAUGAUACUAACUGCUUGAUCAUUCAACUGAAACUAUUUUCCUCUAUUCUAGCCUGUAACGGUCUAAAAUAAGACGCAGCUAUAACUAGGGUUCAAUUUAUUAAACUGUAACAACAUUUGGAAUAAACUCUAACACUUACCAAAACAAAGUUAAUAAAUACGUGCUUGGCCAGGCCUUGAUACUAAUGUUAAUUAACAGUAACACAUAAAUAUCAAUACUAAUUAUUUCAAAUAAUGGGAUCAG